rnacentral:ncRNA from 1 species
AAAAAUAAGAAUAUGAUGUUGGUUCAGAUUAAGCGCUAAAUAAGGACAUGACACAUGCGAAUCAUACGUUUAUUAUUGAUAAGAUAAUAAAUAUGUGGUGUAAACGUGAGUAAUUUUAUUAGGAAUAUAUGAACUAUAGAAUAAGUUAAAUACUUAAUAAUAAAUUAUAUAAAAAAGUAAUAAUUAUAUAAUAAUAAAGGAUAUAUAUAUAUAUAUUUAUCUAUAGUCAAGCCAAUAAUGGUUUAGGUAGUAGGUUUAUUAAGAGUUAAACCUAGCCAACGAUCCAUAAUCGUUAAUGAAAGUUAGAACGAUCACGUUGACUCUGAAAUAUAGUCAAUAUCUAUAAGAUACAGCAGUGAGGAAUAUUGGACAAUGAUCGAAAGAUUGAUCCAGUUACUUAUUAGGAUGAUAUAUAAAAAAUUAUAUCUAUAAAAGUAUAUAAAUAAUAUAUAUAUAAAUUGAUUAAAAAUAAAAUCCAUAAAUAAUUAAAAUAAUGAUAUUAAUUACCAUAUAAUAAUAAUAUGGAUAUAUAAUAAUUAUAAUAUUAAUUUAUUAUAAUAAAUUAUAUAUUUUAAUAGUCCUGACUAAUAUUUGUGCCAGCAGUCGCGGUAACACAAAGAGGGCGAGCGUUAAUCAUAAUGGUUUAAAGGAUCCGUAGAAUGAAUUAUAUAAUUUAGAGUUAAUAAAUUUAAUUAAAGAAUUAUAAUAGUAAAGAUGAAAUAAUAAUAAUAAUUAUAAGACUAAUAUAUGUGAAAAUAUUAAUUAAAUAUUAACUGACAUUGAGGGAUUAAAACUAGAGUAGCGAAACGGAUUCGAUACCCGUGUAGUUCUAGUAGUAAACUAUGAAUACAAUUAUUUAUAAUAAAUAUAUAUAUAUAUAAAUAAUAAAUGAAAAUGAAAGUAUUCCACCUGAAGAGUACGUUAGCAAUAAUGAAACUCAAAACAAUAGACGGUUACAGACUUAAGCAGUGGAGCAUGUUAUUUAAUUCGAUAAUCCACGACUAACCUUACCAUAUUUUGAAUAUUAUAAUAAUUAUUAUAAAUUAUUAUAUUACAGGCGUUACAUUGUUGUCUUUAGUUCGUGCUGCAAAGUUUUAGAUUAAGUUCAUAAACGAACAAAACUCCAUAUAUAUAAUCUUAAUUAUAUAUAAUUUUAUAUUAUUUAUUAAUAUAAAGAAAGGAAUUAAGACAAAUCAUAAUGAUCCUUAUAAUAUGGGUAAUAGACGUGCUAUAAUAAAAUGAUAAUAAAAUUAUAUAAAAUAUAUAAAAAAAUAUAUUUAAUUAAUAAUAUAAAACAUUUUAACUUUUAAUAUAUUUUUAUAUUAUAUAUUAAUAUGAAUUAUAAUCUGAAAUUCGAUUAUAUGAAAAAAGAAUUGCUAGUAAUACGUAAAUUAGUAUGUUACGGUGAAUAUUCUAACUGUUUCGCACUAAUCACUCAUCACGCGUUGAAACAUAUUAUUAUCUUAUUAUUUAUUAAUAUUUAUAUAAUUAUAUUAUAUAAUUAAUUAAUAUUUAUUUAUAUCAGAAAUAAUAUGAAUUAAUGCGAAGUUGAAAUACAGUUACCGUAGGGGAACCUGCGGUGGGCUUAUAAAUAUC